UAAGCAAUAAGAAUGAAACAUCCAUCAUGUUAUUAACAAUAAAAAGGAUUAAGUGUACAAUAGUUGGCCGAGCGUACAUGGUUUGACCUGAGCUCAGCAGAGGAAAGAGCCAGGGCCGUGCCGAACCGCAGCUGACGGAGCUCUUUGAUUUUUUCCCUGCGCUUUUUCCCGAAGGGGCCCCGGGAGCGGAGCCAUUCACCGUCCAAAGCAAUAAAUGUGCAAAGCAGGUCAGGACUGGUACUGCAUUUUCAAAGAGGACGUGUGAACAUUGGAGCAUAGCCAAAAUGCCUGGGAAAGGUAACAAGUCGGACAAGAAAUCCACCACCAAGCCACCUCAGAGUCCUAAAGAUCAGCCGAAGAAAGGUGAUCAGAAAGGAAAUGACAACAAGAAGCAAGGAGGACAGCCGAAGGGAGAGAAGCAAUAACUUCCAGGCCUUCGUGAAGCUGGCCCUGGAGACGCUCUUGGGUUCCUGCAACCGCAAAUACAGAGGCCCUCGGGGUAGACAAAGCUGAAGUGAUAAAAUAAGAACCACAUAUCCUACGCAUUUCAGCUCUUAAUUGGAACCUCUCGGUCCCACAAUGCCUACUGUCACGGGUUUCGGAGCUGAACAGUCAUACACUGACGACACCUCCGAGUUCUACACUUUUCUAGCCACUUUCCCAUCUCAGCCUUUCACAGUCCGCCCAUAUGAUGGUACUUUGUGUUGUAUAGAAAUAAUUGAAUUACCUACCUUAAUAAACAUUAUUUCAUACUGAUAUCACACAAAGGUUUGUGUACUGAUUCGGUGGUUUGAACUGCACUGAGAAG